UCUUCCCCUCGGACAUGCCUGACUCCUCACAGUUUGGGCACUUAACCAGCUUUCUGCUAAUGUAUAAAAAAAGAGUUCAUGGACCGAAUAGCGAUAUCAGUUGCCGUGCUGGGUGGAUACUUAAUCAUCCAGCGAUUCGUCCCAGAGUCUGCAGGAGACAAACGAGUCUUUACGCACCGCCGAUGCGCAGCAGUCUGCCCCCGCGCGCUGCUUUCUGCGUCCCCAAGCAAGUCCUGCAGGUCCUGUGGCCGGCCUCAGAUCAGAUACUGCAAGUUUGCACUGCCAUAGCAGCAGUUUCGGUGGUGUUGGCCCACUGUGACACUUCAGGAAGUCAAAGUUAUCUGCCCACAGCGCCAAAACAACUAUCAAAUGGUUUGCUGACAAUGAUACUGCUGCACCUGACUGGCCAGCAGAUUAACCCAACCUGAAACCCAUAGAGAAUCAGUAGCAUGAUUGUCAAGAGGAAGAUGAGAAACACCCAACCAAACAUACAGACCAGCUGGAGCAACCUGGGCUUCGAUAACACCUCCCCAGAGCUAAAAAACGAUUGGCUCCAAGCUGAUGCAAUGGGGAAAUGUCUCCUCACAUGGUUGUACACAGCAGUUAAUGGUAACACAAUUCUACUACUGAUACAAAUGACCAUAGAGACUAUCUGUGGUGGGAAAAGUGCUGGUAAUGAUCAGACUGGUGGAGCACAAGGGCUCUUUCUGAAACACAAUAUGGUUUCCGGAGGUCUACAUCCACUCUGGAUAUAACUGUCAUUGUUAAACAGCUAUUAGAGAAGAGCAGAGAGCAAACCAAGGAUCUCAAUCUCUGUUGACCUCAAGAAGUACUUUACAGAUGUUGCCAAGAGGAGAAUUGUAUCUUUGCACUAUGCUCAAGGUCCACACAAUAUCCUCUGACAACAAUUGCUGGCCUUCUACCAGUCCCUUAACCUUUAACUCUAACCUCAAACACAUCCCUCAACUCCAUCUUUCAGGAAUGGUGUUCCUUUCAAAAUAGUGUGCCAAUUGACAAAUCUUUGAUCAACACUUACCUCAGACUUCAUCCCUGACACUGAAACAGACAAAUGCAUUAACAAGGCCUCGACAGCCAACGAUCACCUGUACAGAAGGUUUUUAAAACAAAGCCCUGAAGGACAGCACCAAGAUAUUAAACCACAGAGUUGUGUCACCACCCUGGGGCAGAAUCAGGGACCUGAUACAAAUGACCCAUUACCAACUUGAAGGCCGUCCACAUUUUCUGCUUUCAAAAAGUUUUUGGACUUUCUUUGGAUGAGAAAAGAUCCAAACUCAUGACCAAUGCACGGAAGCAGCAGUGAUUUGCUUGUUAGGGCAUAAUAUAUGAAUGCUACACGAUUACUUUUCAAAACCCUCAAUGGAAAGCGAAGUAAUGCAAAACUGUCUCUUUAAAGGCAGAAUGGUACAUCCUCGGGACUAAUUGUAUUGUCUUGUGUAUUGUAUUGUGAGGAAAAUAGAUAUUGUGUUCUUUGCAACUUGAGAAAUGGAAGAAAAUGCCAGCAAUGAAUGCUGAUAAGUUACAUUCAAAUGUGUUACACCCUAUACAUAUCUGAGUCAUCCUUUUUUAUCACUCUCUGUUCUUAUUACAGCAAACCAGAGUGUGAAGAAGGGGCAUAAUGCCUGGAAUUGAUCCUAUGCUGCAGCAGUGAUAGUAAACUUCUUAUAUACAAUAAACUGCAGUACAAUCAUAAGUGGUGAGACAUGAACCCCCAUGGUAUCAGGAAUAAACCAGUAAUUUUGUAAAUGGCUGUCUGCUUCUUCAUAUUACAUAGUAAUAAAAAAAUGUACAGAGACACGUUCUGUGAAAUACCCAAUAUCUACAAUAUUAUUUCUGGAUGGAGAGCAGGAAGGUUGUUUGGACUUUGGAAUAAAGCCAAUGAUUUCAUCAUA